GAGUCUGAGGACUUGUGGGGGCUGGGGGGUGACGGACGUGGAGGUGUGGUACCUCCUGGGGGUAGCCUCACCCCAGGCCCUCCCUCUCUUGGUGAGAAGCUCGGGUCACACUUCAAGCAACAGCUCUGGUCCAAAGCAUUCUGGGACAGCCCUGGGAGGGGGGCCAGGCUGAGACCCUGCAAUGGGGGCCAACCACAUGCUCACAACUUCACAGCCCAGGGCUUCUCAGGGACCGGGUGACCACUGGGAUCUGGUGACUGCGGUGGUGGCCAGGCUCGGGCUGGGCGUCCAGCUCAUCUCACUGGCCCUCACUCCACCACCCAGGACGCCAUCGUGCAGAGCAGAAAGGGAGGCUCGCAGAGGUUACAGGGCUCGCCUGCGUGCUAUAAAAGGACUGAGGCACGAGUUUCCUUCUAAUUAAAAAGUGACUCCGUAGGACAGCUCCCAUCACCAGUCUUUCUCCCGGUGAGGCUGUCAAUCAUGGUGCCUACUCCGGUCAUGGGUGGGCGCAUGGCCCGCGCUGGCCAAUCAGAGCAUGCUACGUUCGAUCACGUGGCGGGGGUCCCUCCGCCUUCCCCUCGGUGAGACUCGGACCCCCAGCAGAGGGCGCAGGAUGCGGUGGGGUGGCUCCAGCCUGCCUGAGACUUCCCUUCGUGGGGGCCGGUAGCAGCAGCUGGGCCGCGUGGCCUGACCGGCUCCAGCCGAGACCGUCCUUUGCCCAAGCGUGGGCUUCCCUUUCUGCAUAGAGGUUUUCGGAUUUCUGAGGGUUGCGCCAGAGGAGACCCCCUCCCGGGGCAGAAGUGAAGAGAGGAUCUCCAAACUGGAACAGCCCAAAUGUCCAAGCAUAGCCGACCCAGACCACGGACACUGCCGCCACCAGGAGGAAAGAGCUGUAGACACACACAGCGCCCUGGUUUCUCUUCAAGGAACUUAUCUUCCAGACACAUGUGCAAGAGGGCACAAACAUAUGUGAAGAAAUGUCCUCUGUAGCAUGUGUUAUAUUGAGAAACCAGAAGCAACCUAAAUGUCCAACAGCAGGCCACUGGCUAGAUAGAUACAUGUCAACUGACCGACCAUCCCCGUUGGCCCAGGACCGGCUAGGAACUAGUGCUGAAAUUCCCUCAUCCUGGGAAACCCCAGAACCCCAGAAACCUGGACGGCUGGUUGCCAUAAACACACCAUGGUACGGCCGUGCCAGGGACUACUACGAAGCCGUGACAAGUGACCGGUGGAGCUCUGUACUGACAUGGAAGAGGUCCCAGAGAGGAGGUGCAGGUGGCCAGGAGCCAUUCGCAGACGUUGUCUGGGAGCUCGGGUGUGAGGGAGGUGCAACUUUCUAUGCCUUUGUGCCAUUGGAUUCGUUUACUUUGUGUGUGUAUGGAUUUUAUAACUAUAAAAAUAUUU